rnacentral:lncRNA from 1 species
CAUUUUUCGGCAUAUUAGGUAGAUUUUUCAUAUUUGAGCUUGAAUCGAAUCGUUUUUAAUGACUAAAUCUGUUAAAAUCUUUCACAUAAACUAAUUAAGGUAGAUAGGGUGUCUUCCUCCAUUUUGGAUUUUGAAAUACUAGAAAACAAGGUCUAGAUCUUUGAUGAAAUGUGCAAAUUUUUAUAGUAGUAGGUAAUUCAUGUGUAAGAAUUUUCAUUAUAAUAUAGAAAAUGCCAUGCUUGAUCAUAUUUAUGAUUGUAUUUUACAAAAAUAAGAAUCCUUUUGUUUGAUUCAUUUUUUUCCAACUUUGUCAAAUAAGGGGAGGCAACUCAAAUGCAAGGGCAGAUAAUCCAGAUAGUGUUACUUUUACAAUAGAAUGUGUAGGAAUUUACCCAUUUUUACAUGUAGCAAGAAAACGAGUCCGGUGACCCCAUUUUUUCUUUUUCUUAUCUGAAAGCAUAAUAUUGAAGCUAUCUUCUCAUAUUUUAUCUCAAAAUUCUAUGGUGUGGUUUGCGUUUUAUGGCGGAAAAAUGGGUUUUCCAUGCAUAAUCUAUACAAAAUCUUGACAAUUUAGAACAACCUGUAACGUGAAAAUAAGUCCGGUGACCUAUUCUUUUUAUUAAUGUUUUUAAACAAGCAGGAUAUGAACUACAUUUUGGCAAAUUAUUAAAAGAUUCUAUGGAUUAUAAUUUAGACACCCCAUCUACCUUAAUUAAAAUAAAAUAGACACUCAAGUGUUUAAAAAGUGGUCAAAAUCUUUCGUCAGAUGAACCUGAAAUUUGAGGCCAAAAUCGGUCCUUACCGGACCUACUCCA